ACGUAGGGGGCGAGCGUUAUCCGGAAUUAUUGGGCGUAAAGAGUGCGUAGGUGGUUCUUUAAGCGUGAGGUGAAAGGCAAUGGCUUAACUAUUGUAAGCCUUGCGAACGGGAGAACUUGAGUGCAGGAGAGGUAAGUGGAAUUCCUAGUGUAGCGGUGGAAUGCGUAGAUAUCAGGAAGAACACCGAUGGCGAAGGCAGCUUACUGGAUUGUAACUGACGCUGAGGCGCGAAAGCGUGGGGAGCAAACAG
rnacentral:rRNA from 1 species